AGACACUUGAUAAUCAAUUAGGUACCAAUUUUUGGGCGUUACGAGGGUGCUAACCCUUCCCGUACAUAACCGACUCCCGAAUCCAUUUUCUCGAUUUUCGUAGACCAAAAUUAAUGUUUUAAAACAAAACAUUUUAUAAGGUGAUCCAAUCACACCUAAAAAGAUUGGUGGCGACUCCCGUUUUCGUUUUUCUUAAAGUCGAUUCCCAUUUUCCAAAACUCGAUUUAAAAAUGGUUUCGACAAUAUGCAUGAGAUGCAUGGCUAGGUUUUGAUAUUUAAAAGAUGAAAUGCGCC
rnacentral:lncRNA from 1 species